rnacentral:rRNA from 1 species
AUUGAACGCUGGCGGCAGGCCUAACACAUGCAAGUCGAACGAGUGGCGGACGGGUGAGUAAUGUCUGGGAAACUGCCUGAUGGAGGGGGAUAACUACUGGAAACGGUAGCUAAUACCGCAUACCAUCAGAUGUGCCCAGAUGGGAUUAGCUAGUUGGUGGGGUAACGGCUCGCCAAGGCGACGAUCCCUAGCUGGUCUGAGAGGAUGACCGACCACCGUGGAAGUGGGACACGGUCCAGACUCCUACGUGAGUCAGCAGUGGGGAAUAUUGCACAAUGAGCGCAAGCCUGAUGCAGCCAUGCCGCGUGUAUGUAGAAGGCCUUCGGGUUGUAAAGUACUUUCAGCGGGGAGGCGUUACUCGCAGAAGAAGCACCGGCUAACUCCGUGCCAGCAGCCGCGGUAAUUC